rnacentral:lncRNA from 1 species
ACAAAGGAGUAGUAGCUGAAUUUGAUUCUCCAGUAAACCUCAUUGCAGCUGGAGGCAUCUUCUAUGGGAUGGCCAAAGAUGCAGGACUCGCCUAGAAUCUGCAUUCCAAAGGUUUCUUCCUUGUCUGAAUCGGACAGCAAGUAGCUGCAGCAUGGAUUUGAUGGCAACGAGUGGGGACAUUUGAGUUGGUUUUGGUUUUUUUUUGUUUUUUGUUUUUUUUUUUUUUUUUAAAUUCUGCAAAUUGCCUUACAGACUAGCCAUACUUAACAGUGGAAUGAGGAAGUGGGUCCUUGGAGGUCACAGCCAGUUCACAGCCAAGUUCAGACCAGUCCCUGGGUCUCCUAGACCUAGUCUACCAUUAUUCCCGUACUGCAUUUUUUUUUGGUUCUUUUUUUCAGAGCUGGGGACCGAACCCAGGGCCUUGCGCUUCCUAGGUAAGCGCUCUACCACUGAGCUAAAUCCCCAGCCCCCGUACUGCAGUUUUUAAGAGACCCUGCUCCUGCCUCUACAUAUUCAUAGUUUCCAAUUUUUUUUUUAAAUGAGCCUUUCUCCUUCUGGACCAGGGACUGCUAGGUCAGUCUGUCCGGGGAACAGAAUCCCUGGUUGGUGCUGUCUGAAUCCACUGACGAAAUAAAGCCAUGAGCAGCAGCAUUUGUA